CCUACGGGGCGCAGCAGUGGGGAAUAUUGCACAAUGGGGGAAACCCUGAUGCAGCGACGCCGCGUGAGUGAAGAAGUAUUUCGGUAUGUAAAGCUCUAUCAGCAGGGAAGAUAAUGACGGUACCUGACUAAGAAGCCCCGGCUAACUACGUGCCAGCAGCCGCGGUAAUACGUAGGGGGCAAGCGUUAUCCGGAUUUACUGGGUGUAAAGGGUGCGUAGGUGGCAGGGCAAGUCAGAUGUGAAAGCCCGGGGCUCAACCCCGGUACUGCAUUUGAAACUGUCCAGCUGGAGUGCAGGAGAGGUAA
rnacentral:rRNA from 1 species